rnacentral:rRNA from 1 species
GACGAACGCUGGCGGCGUGCUUAACACAUGCAAGUCGAACGGAAAGGCCCUGCUUUUGUGGGGUGCUCGAGUGGCGAACGGGUGAGUAACACGUGAGUAACCUGCCCUUGACUUUGGGAUAACUUCACGAAACUGGGGCUAAUACCGGAUAGGAGCUCCUGCUGCAUGGUGGGGGUUGGAAAGUUUCGGCGGUUGGGGAUGGACUCGCGGCUUAUCAGCUUGUUGGUGGGGUAGUGGCUUACCAAGGCUUUGACGGGUAGCCGGCCUGGGAGGGUGACCGGCCACAUUGGGACUGAGAUACGGCGCAGACUCCUACGGGAGGCAGCAGUGGGGAAUAUUGCACAAUGGGCGGAAGCCUGAUGCAGCAACGCCGCGUGCGGGAUGACGGCCUUCGGGUUGUAAACCGCUUUCGCCUGUGACGAAGCGUGAGUGACGGUAAUGGGUAAAGAAGCACCGGCUAACUACGUG